GCCGCCGUAGCUCAGAUAGGUAGAGCAGCUGGCUGUUAACCAGCAGGUCGUCGGUUCAAGUCCGACCGGCGGCGCCA
rnacentral:tRNA from 1 species